CAAGUCGAGCGGGGUGAUGUAGCUUGCUACAUUACCUAGCGGCGGACGGGUGAGUAAUGCUUAGGAAUCUGCCUAUUAGUGGGGGACAACAUUCCGAAAGGAAUGCUAAUACCGCAUACGCCCUACGGGGGAAAGCAGGGGAUCUUCGGACCUUGCGCUAAUAGAUGAGCCUAAGUCAGAUUAGCUAGUUGGUGGGGUAAAGGCCUACCAAGGCGACGAUCUGUAGCGGGUCUGAGAGGAUGAUCCGCCACACUGGGACUGAGACACGGCCCAGACUCCUACGGGAGGCAGCAGUGGGGAAUAUUGGACAAUGGGCGAAAGCCUGAUCCAGCCAUGCCGCGUGUGUGAAGAAGGCCUUUUGGUUGUAAAGCACUUUAAGCGAGGAGGAGGCUACUUGGAUUAAUACUCUAGGAUAGUGGACGUUACUCGCAGAAUAAGCACCGGCUAACUCUGUGCCAGCAGCCGCGGUAAUACAGAGGGUGCGAGCGUUAAUCGGAUUUACUGGGCGUAAAGCGUGCGUAGGCGGCUUCUUAAGUCGGAUGUGAAAUCCCUGAGCUUAACUUAGGAAUUGCAUUCGAUACUGGGAAGCUAGAGUAUGGGAGAGGAUGGUAGAAUUCCAGGUGUAGCGGUGAAAUGCGUAGAGAUCUGGAGGAAUACCGAUGGCGAAAGGCAGCCAUCUGGCCUAAUACUGACGCUGAGGUACGAAGCAUGGGGAGCAAACAGGAUUAGAUACCCUGGUAGUCCAUGCCGUAAACGAUGUCUACUAGCCGUUGGGGCCUU
rnacentral:rRNA from 1 species